AAGGGUACGAAACACUCGAAGAGGGUACACACAUGGGUGUGGUGCGUGGGAACGUUUAUCCUAGGAUAGGUAAACUAAAGUCCUGCCGCUUCAACCUAUUCGUGGCGCAUCAUAAACAGGCAGCUUGUACCCCCGGCAGCGAUACCAUCGACAAAACUCCGCGUUGCUCGGCAAGAAGUGCCAGUCAGUGAUGUUGUUCACAGCGAUGAUGAGCAAUUAAACUUGUGUAACGGAGGUUGCCAUAAACGUACCGAAUAGUCCAACAUGAACACGUUUGAUUGCUUCAUUUGCC